UAGGGAAUCUUCCACAAUGGGCGCAAGCCUGAUGGAGCAACACCGCGUGAGUGAAGAAGGGUUUCGGCUCGUAAAGCUCUGUUGUUGGAGAAGAACGUGCGUGAGAGUAACUGUUCACGCAGUGACGGUAUCCAACCAGAAAGUCACGGCUAACUACGUGCCAGCAGCCGCGGUAAUACGUAGGUGGCAAGCGUUAUCCGGAUUUAUUGGGCGUAAAGCGAGCGCAGGCGGUUGCUUAGGUCUGAUGUGAAAGCCUUCGGCUUAACCGAAGAAGGGCAUCGGAAACCGGGCGACUUGAGUGCAGAAGAGGACAGUGGAACUCCAUGUGUAGCGGUGGAAUGCGUAGAUAUAUGGAAGAACACCAGUGGCGAAGGCGGCUGUCUGGUCUGCAACUGACGCUGAGGCUCGAAAGCAUGGGUAGCGAACA
rnacentral:rRNA from 1 species